UCUAAAAAUUACUUGGCUAAGUAAGCAUGGGAAAUAUAUUUGGACUCCCCAAAAUAAAGCAUUUGUUAUUUUUACGUGUCAAUGAAAUUCACUUGGACCAGUUGUUCUAAGUUUAAGUGUUGAAUAUUUCCGAAUUCUAAUUACUCUUCUUCCCGGUCUUUUCCGUAGUUUGAAAUUAGACUUAGUCGCAGCGCCCGUUUAAAGAGAGAAGUUAAACGUAUUCUAUGAUAUAGUUUGGUAUUUUAUGUUAAAACAAAUGGCCCUGCAAAUUUUCGACAGUUGUAUGUCUUUUCGCCAUGUUACCGAUAAAGCUCCAUCUUACAUAUUAAUGGAUGGUUUGCCCAAAAGCAACCUGUAAUGAUGAUAAUGGUGUAUUGAAGGUGCUCUUAUUUGGGCCGGGGUGAGACAUACAUCCUAGUGUAAUCAGAUUCCCCGGUAAAUAAAACUGAACUUUACGGAACAUCGAUUCUCGGGAACUUCUGAACAACACCUUCUUAGAAAGGCCACUUGUUGAUAUAUUGAGAGCCAUAUCAGUGACUGUGUGGGAUUUUAUCGAACACUAUGCUUUAAAAUUG